rnacentral:rRNA from 1 species
GAUGAACGCUAGCUACAGGCUUAACACAUGCAAGUCGAGGGGUAACGAGAGGAAAGCUUGCUUUCCUUGUCGACGACCGGCGCACGGGUGAGUAACGCGUAUCCAACCUGCCCCCAACUAAGGAAUAACCUUGCGAAAGUAAGACUAAUACCUUAUAAUUUCCUCAGAUGUCAUCUGACGAGGAAUAAAGAUUUAUCGGUUGUGGAUGGGGAUGCGUCUGAUUAGCUUGUUGGCGGGGUAACGGCCCACCAAGGCAACGAUCAGUAGGGGUUCUGAAAGGAAGGUCCCCACAUUGGAACUGAGACACGGUCCAAACUCCUACGGGAGGCAGCAGUGAGGAAUAUUGGUCAAUGGGCGGAAGCCUGAACCAGCCAAGUAGCGUGCAGGAUGACGGCCCUAUGGGUUGUAAACUGCUUUUAUACAGGAAUAAAGUUAGCCACGUGUGGUUAUUUGUAGGUACUGUAUGAAUAAGGACCGGCUAAUUCCGUGCCAGCCGCCGCAGUAA